rnacentral:rRNA from 1 species
UAGCGGCGGACGGGUGAGUAACACGUGGAUAACCUACCUAUAAGACUGGGAUAACUUCGGGAAACCGGAGCUAAUACCGGAUAAGAUUUUGAACCGCAUGGUUCAAUAGUGAAAGACGGCCUUGCUGUCACUUAUAGAUGGAUCCGCGCCGUAUUAGCUAGUUGGUAAGGUAACGGCUUACCAAGGCAACGAUACGUAGCCGACCUGAGAGGGUGAUCGGCCACACUGGAACUGAGACACGGUCCAGACUCCUACGGGAGGCAGCAGUAGGGAAUCUUCCGCAAUGGGCGAAAGCCUGACGGAGCAACGCCGCGUGAGUGAUGAAGGUCUUCGGAUCGUAAAACUCUGUUAUCAGGGAAGAACAAACGUGUAAUAACUGGUGCACGUCUUGACGGUACCUGAUCAGAAAGCCACGGCUAACUACGUGCCAGCAGCCGCGGUAAUACGUAGGUGGCAAGCGUUAUCCGGAAUUAUUGGGCGUAAAGCGCGCGUAGGCGGUUUUUUAAGUCUGAUGUGAAAGCCCACGGCUCACCCGUGAAGGGUCAUUGGAAACUGCAAAACUUGAGUGCAGAAGAGGAAAGUGGAAUUCCAUGUGUAGCGGUGAAAUGCGCAGAGAUAUGGAGGAACACCAGUGGCGAAGGCGACUUUCUGGUCUGUAACUGACGCUGAUGUGCGAAAGCGUGGGGAUCAAACAGGAUUAGAUACCCUGGUAGUCCACGCCGUA